CGGAGAAGAAGAAGAAGAUAUCGAAGAAGAUGACUAGAGACAGUCCCUUGAGUACUCCUUUAAGAAUAAGGGUCUUGCGAAGACACAGCCUCUUUCCUCUAGCGCCAAUUUUGUUGGUGCAGAAUUCCGCCGAUGUCGGAUGAAGCUGGCGUCGAGGGGAUCACGACCGCCGUCAGGACCUGUAAGGAAAGUCUAAACCAGAGUUGGGGGUGCUCCGGCAAGACCCUCC
rnacentral:lncRNA from 1 species